rnacentral:rRNA from 1 species
UACGUAGGGUGCAAGCGUUAUCCGGAAUUAUUGGGCGUAAAGAGCUCGUAGGCGGUUUGUCGCGUCUGCUGUGAAAACCGGAGGCUCAACCUCCGGCCUGCAGUGGGUACGGGCAAACUAGAGUGCGGUAGGGGAGAUUGGAAUUCCUGGUGUAGCGGUGGAAUGCGCAGAUAUCAGGAGGAACACCGGUGGCGAAGGCGGCCCACUGGUCCGGUACUGACGCUGAGGCGCGAAAGCUAGGGGAGCAAACGGG